GCUUGCACCUUAUUGGUUAGCGGCGGACGGGUGAGUAACACGUGGGCAACCUGCCUGUAAGACUGGGAUAACUUCGGGAAACCGGAGCUAAUACCGGAUAAUCCUUUUCCUCUCAUGAGGAAAAGCUGAAAGUCGGUUUACGCUGACACUUACAGAUGGGCCCGCGGCGCAUUAGCUAGUUGGUGAGGUAACGGCUCACCAAGGCGACGAUGCGUAGCCGACCUGAGAGGGUGAUCGGCCACACUGGGACUGAGACACGGCCCAGACUCCUACGGGAGGCAGCAGUAGGGAAUCUUCCGCAAUGGACGAAAGUCUGACGGAGCAACGCCGCGUGAGCGAUGAAGGCCUUCGGGUCGUAAAGCUCUGUUGUUAGGGAAGAACAAGUACCGGAGUAACUGCCGGUACCUUGACGGUACCUAACCAGAAAGCCACGGCUAACUACGUGCCAGCAGCCGCGGUAAUACGUAGGUGGCAAGCGUUGUCCGGAAUUAUUGGGCGUAAAGCGCGCGCAGGCGGUCCUUUAAGUCUGAUGUGAAAGCCCACGGCUCAACCGUGGAGGGUCAUUGGAAACUGGGGGACUUGAGUACAGAAGAGGAAAGCGGAAUUCCACGUGUAGCGGUGAAAUGCGUAGAGAUGUGGAGGAACACCAGUGGCGAAGGCGGCUUUCUGGUCUGUAACUGACGCUGAGGCGCGAAAGCGU
rnacentral:rRNA from 1 species